rnacentral:rRNA from 1 species
CCUACGGGAGGCAGCAGUAGGGAAUCUUGCGCAAUGGGCGAAAGCCUGACGCAGCGACGCCGCGUGAGGGAUGAAGGUCUUCGGAUCGUAAACCUCUGUCAGCAGGGAAGAACGGUCACUGUGCUAAUCAGCAGUGACUUGACGGUACCUGCACAGGAAGCACCGGCUAACUCCGUGCCAGCAGCCGCGGUAAUACGGAGGUGGCGAGCGUUAAUCGGAAUUACUGGGCGUAAAGCGCGCGUAGGCGGUAUGUCAAGUCAAGGGUGAAAUCCCCGCGCUCAACGUGGGAACGGCCUUUGAAACUGGCAAACUGGAGUGUGUGAGAGGAUAGUGGAAUUCCAGGUGUAGGGGUGAAAUCCGUAGAUAUCUGGAGGAACAUCAGUGGCGAAGGCGACUAUCUGGCACAUAACUGACGCUGAGGAGCGAAAGCGUGGGUAGCAAACAGGAUUAGAUACCCGGGUAGUC